GUAGUCCACACCCUAAACGAUGGAUACUAGGCGUGAGAGGUAUCGACCCCUCUCGUGCCGCAGCUAACGCACUAAGUAUCCCGCCUGGGGAGUACGGCCGCAAGGUUGAAACUCAAAUGAAUUGACGGGGACCCGCACAAGCGGUGGAGCAUGUGGAUUAAUUCGAUACUAACCGAAGAACCUUACCCAGGUUUGACAUCGAUCGAAAGCUCUAGAGAUAGGGCCUUCCUCCCAAAAGGAGGACGUGAAGACACUUGUUGCAUGGCUGUCGUCAGCUCGUGCCGUGAGGUGUACGGUUAAGUCCGCCAACGAGCGCAACCCACGUCCUGUGUUACCAGCAUGAAAGAUGGGGACUCACAGGAGACCGCCGGUGUAAACCGGAGGAAGGUGUGGAUGACGUCAAGUCAGCAUGGCAGUUACGCCUGGGGCUUCACACAUGCUACAAUGGGCGAAACAAAGGGCAGCAAUACCGUGAGGUGGAGCAAAUCCCAAAAAUACGCCCCCAGUUCAGAUUGCAGUCUGCAACUCGACUGCAUGAAGGCGGAAUCGCUAGUAAACGCAGGUCAGCUAUACUGCGUUGAAUA
rnacentral:rRNA from 1 species